rnacentral:piRNA from 1 species
UGAAAAAAUAUCUUCAGUGACAUGUCAUA